GGGGGGGAAGCUUGAGCGAGUCUGGCACAUUCUCUGGAUUUCCCAUUGUGAGGAAGGCUGCGAGGAAGAGGAAGAUGCCCCAGGACACUGAUGCAGAGCAGGAGCUGAGCAUGGAGAGCAGGGAGGACAAAUGCCCGCGGCAGAACCUGGUGGAAGAGGCCGUUUUGAGCGGCUCCACGGCGCAGGAAGCCAACGGGGAGGAAAAGCCCCGGAGAUGCCG